rnacentral:misc_RNA from 1 species
UACUGGAUACAGAAGCAGGUCCAACAUGGCUUCCAUUAAGAGUUUCAACAUGACCAUCUUCGGCUGGCUGAAUAUCAUCUAACUGAGGCUUCAUGUGUUGAUUAACUCUAUCCAAGGGAAAGUUAGCUUGAUCAGCAUACAGUUCAGAAUCAUGAGGUGCCCCUAAAACAGAAGGUAUACUAGCAGCCGAUGGCUCCUCAAUAGAUGGCCAUUCAUCAUCGGAAUGAACGUGUUGGCUUGCACUAAGUUCUGGCUCGGCAUUUAUUUCUGACAACUUGGCAGCAUGAUUUUCUGACAAAUGUAAAUCAUGAUUUGAUGCUGUUAAAGGAGGUGCUGCAGGAUGGUGAUGAUUUACACCAUGAAGAGUUGGCAUAGCAGAUGCCUUGUUAUGCGGCC